rnacentral:piRNA from 1 species
UAAUCUAACUAUACGAAGAAGGUCCUCC